rnacentral:tRNA from 1 species
GUCUCCUUAGCUCAGUUGGUAGAGCAACUGACUCUUAAUCAGUGGGUCGUGGGUUCAAAUCCCUCAGGGGACACCA